UACGGGGGGGGCAAGCGUUGUUCGGAAUUACUGGGCGUAAAGGGCUCGUAGGCGGCCAACUAAGUCGGACGUGAAAUCCCUCAGCUUAACUGGGGAACUGCGUCCGAUACUGGAUGGCUUGGAUUUGGGAGAGGAAUGCGGAAUUCCAGGUGUAGCGGUGAAAUGCGUAGAUAUCUGGAGGAACACCGGUGGCGAAGGCGGCAUUCUGGACCAAUAUUGACGCUGAGGAGCGAAAGCCAGGGGAGCAAACGGG
rnacentral:rRNA from 1 species